GGUUGCAUAGUUCAACGGAUAGAAUAGUAGUUUCCUAAACUGUAGAUUCGGGUUCGAUUCCCGAUGCGACCA
rnacentral:tRNA from 1 species